rnacentral:rRNA from 1 species
AGAGUUUGAUCCUGGCUCAGAACGAACGCUGGCGGCAUGCCUAAUACAUGCAAGUCGAACGAGCCCUUCGGGGUUAGUGGCGCACGGGUGCGUAACGCGUGGGAAUCUGCCCUUGGGUUCGGAAUAACGUCUGGAAACGGACGCUAAUACCGGAUGAUGACGAAAGUCCAAAGAUUUAUCGCCCAGGGAUGAGCCCGCGUAGGAUUAGCUAGUUGGUGAGGUAAAGGCUCACCAAGGCGACGAUCCUUAGCUAGUCUGAGAGGAUGAUCAGCCACACUGGGACUGAGACACGGCCCAGACUCCUACGGGAGGCAGCAGUAGGGAAUAUUGGACAAUGGGGGCAACCCUGAUCCAGCAAUGCCGCGUGAGUGAUGAAGGCCUUAGGGUUGUAAAGCUCUUUUACCCGGGAUGAUAAUGACAGUACCGGGAGAAUAAGCCCCGGCUAACUCCGUGCCAGCAGCCGCGGUAAUACGGAGGGGGCUAGCGUUGUUCGGAAUUACU